rnacentral:lncRNA from 1 species
GUCAAUCAUAGUAAAAUAAUUAUAAGGAUGUUCAACACAACGACAUGCAACAGAAGCUAGUUUCAUUGCCUCUAUAAUAGUAGUGUCAUCUCCACUGGAUUCAAAAUCAGAAAGCUUUGCAUUGAAGUUCUACAUUGCAAAAUGAGAAAUAAAACCACCGGUUGUCAAAGUUGCAUCAUAAGUAAUGAAAUUACCCGGUCCAGCAAUAUCUGAUGUAGCUUAAUGGAGAAAUUAUCAACUUGAUUCUGUGUUGUCCACAGAAAGGAAAGGGCUUGAGCUACUCCUAAUGCUAUUUGAAUCCUUGUCUUCCAUGAAAGUGGCAUCUUGUCCUCUUAAAAUGGUGAGAAUCUAAGCUUCCAUUCUCCAUGCAUUCAUAGACAAGAAACAGUUGUUCAUCUUCGAAGCAGUAUCCUAGAACCUUAACAAGGUUUGGAUGAUCAUUAAAUUCGCUUAGGAAUGUCGUAUCAAGAAACUGCACGCAGCCAUAUAUAAUCAUUAUUAAGGUUCAUUACUAUCAGUCAGUCCAUAUAAGAAUAUGAAUGUGAUGUUGAAUCUUGGAGUGGUAAAAUCUCUUAAUGGCAACCCUUAAUACAACUUCAACGACAGACGGGGGAAUCUUCAUCCAACCUUCAAAAACCUCCCCAAAUUCUCCCCCACCCAAGAGAAUUGUUUGGUGCUUGAGGAAAGGAAUACAAGCGAUCCAGCAUUUUCUCCGAAGUGGCCACCUCAUGAUGAUCAACACUAUCUUCUUUUGACGAUAAAGUGUGUUCAUUGGUAUCUUCAUUGACCGUACAGAGAUUUCUAUCACUUUGAGCUAUUAAAGGGAAAAUGAUAAAAUAAAAAGUAACAGUAAAUAAAUAUUGUCAUGGAAUACACAAAUUAUCACUAUUUGUAAAUUUAUAUACCAGAGUUCAGUUCAUGUGAGAUAAAGGGCCAUUUAAUCAUUCUAGCAAUUGACAGUAUGCCUACAGCUGGCUUUACACUUAUACGUCGGUCGAAUUUAUUUUGUAACGUCAGAGAAAGCUCAAGAGCUACCAGAAUCUCUGCCAUAGUAGGGCGUUUCUUUGACUCGCUACUCAGACUACGAUCUGCAAUCUGCACAAAUACCUUCAAAGACUUUGGAGAUAUCUGGCUUUUGAUAUUAAAAUCAGUGAUUUCAUUCACUUUCCCUUUCUCAAUAGAUUCAUGAGCCCACUUUGCCAAACUGCACUUAUCCUCGUCAAGACUGUUAUCCAGGGCGGCCCUCCCGCACAACAACUCGAAUAACACCACCCCAAAGGCAAACACAUCUGAUUUAGUUGUCAAUCGUCCAGUCAAAAAAUACUCUGGAUCAAGGUAGCCAAAUGUACCCCUAACGAGUGUAUUGACAUAGGCACCUGAUGCGUUUGUUGGGCCAAUUUUGGAUAAUCCGAAAUCUGAUAUCUUAGAAGCAUACUCUUUGUCCAACAGAAUAUUUGAGCUUUUAACAUCCCGGUGUAUGACACCAUGUUGGGUGCCAGUUCCAGUAUGAAGGUAAUGCAAUCCUCUUGCGGCACCUAUGCUUAUCUUUAGUCGGUGUACCCAACUCAGACGAGUACCAUAUCUGUGCAAAUGAUCAUGAAGGGUUCCAUGUGGCAUAAACUCAUAGACAAGGAUCAUCUCUGAGUUAUCAUUACAAUAACCUAUCAAAGACACAAGAUUACAGUGCCUCAACUUUGUAAGCGUCUCAACUUCAGCCCAAAACUCAGGUUCUCCUUGGUUGGAACUGGUAUCCAAUCGCUUGAUGGCAACAAUAACAGUUGCCCCAUUUUCAAUAUUGAUAAGAGCUUUAUACACCUUACCAAAUCCACCCUUCCCUACAACCAAUGCGUCAUCGAAAUUCUGGGUGGCUGAUAGAAUCUCAUCUAGCGAAAAUGGAUGGCAUAAAUGAGCGUAAGGCAAUGAUGACAUUUGAGUUUCCAUUACAAAAACACAAUGGUUGCUAUAUCUUUGAGAGAAGUUCUUUCUGCCAUCAUGAAAUAGAAACCAACAAUAAAUAAAAACCAUUUGACUUUGUAAUAAGUGUCCAAACAUAUAUACAUGCACUAUUUGCUACCAAUAGUUGACCGAUGUACAAUAGAUGGCAACAUAUAUGGGUUGGGUAAGAGACUUUUUGGCAUCAACAAAUAUUGCAUAAUUGAAUCGCUUGUAUUGGCUAAAUUUAAUCCAUAUUACCUAACUAAUUGCUGCAAUCUAAAAUUAAAAAAGCACAACUUCUAACCAGAAUCAACAAAAACAAACAGCUAAUCUCAAACUCAAACUAAGAGCAACAAACUAGAACAAAAGAAAACUUGAACAAAUGUAAUAACUAAUUCAAGAUCAACACCUGAUUGCAGUAGGGAUGAGUAUCGGGCGACCGACAGAGUUUAGAAGAGGGGAUUUUUUUUGUUUGUUUGUUUCAAAUCUUAGCGUUGUACAAGCACCACACGUCCACACAAACAACAAUCUAAACAUGUUACGAUAAAAAUAUAGAAUUUAAUCUGCAUCAACCAAUUAAAAUUUGAAGAUGAGUGGGGCCGAAACAUGUUGACUUGCACCCACACCCACUACUCUUAGACCAAAGGGUAUGGGGCUCGGCUCCCCCCGUCCCUCACGUUUCGGAUCGUCCCACACUGCCCCCCGGCGGUCCGUCGCGUCCCCCUCAAGACGGCAGCGGGGAGCUGCAAUGGUGGGGCCCCCUUCAUUUCUUCUCUCUCUCCUUUAUUUUAUAUAUUAAUUUUUUAUUAUUGGGUAGUCCCCAUACCCUUGGGUAGUCUCCUUUGGAUGAUCAUUCAUCGAAUGUGACGUGGCAUCUACAUGACGGAUAGUACCCAAAGGGACCACCCAAACCAUACCCUGUGGUCUUACAGUCACUGUCAGGGUCUAAUAGAAUUUUUGUCGUGAUUCGAAUUCAGUGGUGUUUAACGGAUCUCAAUUUUUAAUUUAAGAUUAUUUGUACCAAAGUAAUACAGAAACACUUGUAAAUGAAGAAAAAAAAUAUCCACUUGUAUAUAUUUUUUAAAAGCAAUAAAAAAAAUCUUACAAAAAGUUGUAUCCUGAAUAAAUGAGCUCUAUGUGCAAUUGAAGAAGAUACUGAAGAGGCAAAAUGAAAAUAGGGGCCUUGAAAGCAUAUAGCUGUUUGCGGUUUCAAAACAUAAAAAGAUCAUAAGUGCUUGUUGUGUGUAAUUAAUUAAUUUGAAUAGAGCUACUUUGUGAAUUUGUAUAAAUUUUUAUUUCGUUUGUAAUUGAAUAUUUAUUUAUUUAUGAGAUUUUAGAUAUUUU